GGAUAGAAAAGAUUCAGAACCUGCAACAACACGGAAGCUAUGAAGUAGACAAGAAGGCUUUGAAGAUUCUGCAAACAUACUUGAAGAAGUCUUGAGAUAUGUUUGCUUGGCAAUUUCCUAUCUGUGUGAUGGUUCAGAAGCUGUUAUCCAAAGUGUGAUUGAAGCUGGUUUUGACCCAAAAUUAGUUGAAGUUCUCCAACGCCCUUCCCCAGAUGUGCUUGCUCCUGUACUUCAUAACAUUGGGACUAUAGCUAGACAAUAUAAUCACCAGAGCCAAGUAUGUA